AGCAGACUCACUCCCCAUUCCUUGACUCGUUCAGCAACCGCCCGGCGUUGAUGUAUCAUUUGAACCCCCACGUCCCCUCAGCCUCGCUGCUCUCUCUCUCACCCUUGCGCAGCCACCAACCGCUCCCGCGGACGCGGCAAGGCAGGGCCAGGCCUCUGCGCACGACAGCCGGCCGGCUACAGCCGCUAGCCGUGGCCAUGGCGGCGGCCAGCCCUGCCCCGAGCUGCCCUCCAUGUACGGUGACCCCCGCCCCUUGGAGUCCUGGCCGCUCGCUCGGUCGUUCUCCGCGCCGAUCGCCCAGGAAGGUCUGCACUGCUCUCGUUGUCGCCGAGGCUAGUGGCCAGGAUGCCUUUGGUGCAAUCUAUGCUCAAGUAAAGAAGAAGGCGUCGAUGCGGAUCUCCAGGAGUUCCAGGACUUCGACGAGUUCGAGGAUUAGGCUAGCGACCACCCCCAGUCAGCUGCCUGUGGUGGGUUUAUUUACGUUGGCUAC